UCAUUUCUCCUUAUGUUGUCGUUGUACCAUUGGGUAUUGUAUAGAGACCAAUUUCUAAGAGAUUUUUUCACCUCUGUUUCUGUUAUUUGCUAUACUGGAGGUAAUAUAAUAAUAAUGAAAUAUAGCUUUUUUUUUCAACUCAGAAAUCCUAUUCCCUCUCCCCAUCUGUGAUUAUAUUGUACUGGACUUCUGACUUGGUCAAAAGCAUAGGUUUUGACUUAGAUACAUGUGGGGGCAGAUCUCAGCUCUAUCACUAACUAGCUAUAUGAUAUUUGGCAAGUUUUUUCUCUAUGUGCAGUAGUUUCUUUAUCUGUAAAAUUAAGAUAAUAGCUACUUUACAGGGUUGGAAGAAUUAAUUUAGAAAUUGUACAGUGCUUAGCCUCAAUAAUUGGUAGGUGGUGGUGUAAAUAUUUUACAUAGAUACUUGUGACAGUUCUUUGUUCUACAAAACAGACUAAUAUUAAUUUCAGAUUGGCCAAGCUACUUAAUUUCUCUGUGCCUCAGUUUCCUCACUAUUAAAUGGGGAUGACAAUAGUGUCCACCUAGAGCAGGACUAUUUUAGUAUUACAUAUAAUCCUUGGAUAUAAAUGCUGAUGAAGUUUGGAUAUUUGUCCCCACCCAAGUCUCAUGUUGAAAUGUAAUCCCCAAUCUUGGAGGUGGAGCCUGGUGGGAGGUGUAUGGAUUAGAUCAGAUCUCUCAUGAAUGACUUGGGCCAUCCUUUGGGUGGUAAGUGAGCUCUUGCUCCGAGUUCACACGAGGUCUAGAUCUGGUCAUUUAAAAGUGUGUGGCAUCUCCCCAUCCCUCACUCUAUCACUUGCUCCUACUUUCGUCAUAUGACAUGCCUGCUCCCCUUUCACCUUCUGCCAUGAUUGUAAGCUUCCUGAGGCCUCCCUAGAAGCUGAGCAGAUGCCAGCACCAUGCUUCCUGUAGUCUGUAGAACCAUAAGCCAAAUAAACAUCUUUUCUUUAUAAAUUUAUAAAUUACCCAGUCGCAGAUAUUUAUAGAAAGAACAGCCUAAUACAGGUGCUAAAUACAUAUCUGACAAUAAAUGGUAGUUAUCUCUUAGAACUGUUAUGAGGAUUAAACGAGUUACAGUGUCCAUCUUAAAAAGAUAAUUCUGAAAAAAAUCUCAUAGGUUCACUUUGCCUUGUCAAGAAUAUGAUUACCAUUAACUUCUGUAGAUAGGAAAAAAAUGUGCUGAGCUCCAAAACUGACAGACAUUUUGCUAAAACAAUAUCAAAUCUCAUUAAAAUGAUGACAGUUAUUUCAAUAGUUGACAGUAGCUAUCCCAAUACAACCUAACAAGGCAUUUUCUCUUCAGAAUCACUCGAUCAUAUGGCCAUUUCCCUAAGCUUUUAUAGCUAUUGCCCAGUGUACACUGAAGACAACAGCUAACGAACAACAUACGUGUGAUAAUUUAUGUAGUUGAACCUCUAAGGCAAAAAAAAAAAAAAAAAGGAAAAAUUAGUGAAAAUCAUUCAAACAUUAUGCUCACCAGGUAGACUGCCAUCAUAGAAGUCCUAAUGCUACUGCUAAAAACUAGUAAACUACCAGUAAACUGUGAAGACAGAAGUAACUCCUGUGAUCUAUAUGUUUGUGCAGAUGGUGGAGCUUUUCUGCUCCUAAAGCCUGAGAAAUGCAAAUGUGGCUUCGUUAAUGCAAAUGCUUCCUACGCCAGACUUUAUGAAACUCCUCCUAAAGUUGAAUUCUUAUCCAAGUGGACAUAUGUUAGGGUGCCAUUGUAAUUCAGGUAGAGUGUCAGAGUGGUGGCUGGCACCAACGGUAGAUGUUCUCAACAUUAGCGUUAUUCAGGUAAGACUACAACAAUGAUGAACAUGUCAAAACUUUCCUUUAAAAGGAACAAUCAGAAAAACUCUUUAACAAAUGUUUUUCUUUCCGUAGUAUUUUAAUUAAAAUUUUUAAAAUUUUAAAAUUUACUAAAUUUAUGAACGUUUUUAUCCCACUUGAGAUGAAUACUUAUUUAUAGUCCCUGUCCCAUGAAGCUUCUGUGGAUUUGCUUUGUUUGUCAUUUGUGGUAUGUUUGAUAACAAAAAUAUUAGUGGCACAAAAGCAGUUAUAUUGAAUGCUUUUGUUUUAGAGAAAAUUUCACUCUGUACUAGAAAAUGUAGAUGAUGUGAGUCAAAGUUCAUUAAUAUUUACCUGAAAAUUUGUGUAUAAAGGUAACCUUGGGGCAGUUUAUUUUGCUUAGACCCCUCAGCUUCUUGAUAGAGUGAGGUGAGGGCAUAUGUAAGUCAGUAAACUAUUCUGUUAGUAAAGUCAAAGGCGUAAUCUAAAUUAAUUAUGCUUUUAACUAACACAGAAGAAAUCAUGUGACCUCAUUCUCAAAGCUCGUAACAUCCACCUGGCCAAUCUUAAGAUGUGGAUAGAGUUCUUUUUUUUCUUUUUUCAAUUUUUACAAUAAUUUUUGACACAUUGAAGCUGUGCAUGUUUAUGGGGGCACAAUUUGAUGUUUCAAUACAUGUAUAUGUUGUGUAAUGAUCAAAUCGGAGUACUUAGCAUAUCUAUCAUCUCGUGCAUUUAUCAUUUCUUUGUGGCGAGAACAUUUAAAAAUCCUAUUUUCUAGCUAUUUUGUAAUAUACACUACCUUACUGUUGCGAACCAUAGUCACCCUACUGUGCAAUAGAACACCUGAACUUAUUCCUCCUAUCUAGUUGUAACUUUGUACCCAUUGACCCCCCUUCCCUUCCUUCCACUCUCCCCUCCCCAGUCUCUGGUAACCACUGUUCUGUUCCCUAUGAGAUAAAACUUUUUUUGUCUUCCAU
rnacentral:lncRNA from 1 species